UACAGAGGGUGCUAGCGUUGUUCGGAAUUACUGGGCGUAAAGCGCGUGUAGGUGGCGAUGUAAGUCGGGUGUGAAAUCCCUCAGCUUAACUGAGGAAGUGCACUCGAUACUGUGUCGCUUGAGUGUUGGAGGGGAUGGCGGAAUUCCCGGUGUAGAGGUGAAAUUCGUAGAUAUCGGGAGGAACACCUGUGGCGAAGGCGGCCAUCUGGACAACUACUGACACUGAGACGCGAAAGCGUGGGUAGCAAACAGG
rnacentral:rRNA from 1 species